ACUGUUUAUCAAAAACACAGGUCUCCGCAAAGUUGUAAGACCAUGUAUGGGGGAUGACGCCUGCCCAGUGCCGAAAGGUCACGGAAGUUGGUGACCUGAUGAUAGGGGAGCCGGCGACCGAAGCCCCGGUGUGACGACCCAAAAUUUUUAAAUUAGAAAAUAAUAAUAAUAAUAAUAAUA
rnacentral:ncRNA from 1 species